UUUUCCGAGGAGCGUUGCGACAGGUUAACCCUGCCAGGCUCGGUAAACGUUCAUUUUCACAAACGGCGCUCGCUUAUA
rnacentral:ncRNA from 2 species